rnacentral:rRNA from 1 species
AGUGAACGCUGGCGGUAGGCCUAACACAUGCAAGUCGAACGGCAGCACAGUAAGAGCUUGCCCUUACGGGUGGCGAGUGGCGGACGGGUGAGGAAUACAUCGGAAUCUACUUUUUCGUGGGGGAUAACGUAGGGAAACUUACGCUAAUACCGCAUACGACCUACGGGUGAAAGCAGGGGAUCUUCGGACCUUGCGCGAUUGAAUGAGCCGAUGUCGGAUUAGCUAGUUGGCGGGGUAAAGGCCCACCAAGGCGACGAUCCGUAGCUGGUCUGAGAGGAUGAUCAGCCACACUGGAACUGAGACACGGUCCAGACUCCUACGGGAGGCAGCAGUGGGGAAUAUUGGACAAUGGGCGCAAGCCUGAUCCAGCCAUACCGCGUGGGUGAAGAAGGCCUUCGGGUUGUAAAGCCCUUUUGUUGGGAAGGAAAAGCAGCAGGUUAAUACCCCGCUGUUCUGACGGUACCCAAAGAAUAAGCACCGGCUAACUUCGUG